GUACUUCACCUAAAAUACUAUUUGGUACAAUACAUCCAUAGCAGUUAUAUGAUUAAACUCCAGUAUAUUUCUUUCUUCGGUUAUAAUUAAAUUUUAAAACAAAUGUUUUCUCAAGCUGAAUUGUGAAAUUAUUUUUGCUUCAAUGCACUGACUUUAGGUGGAUGCCUGUAUUCAGAAAGCCAAGUAUAUUCUGGAUAUACUUUCCCAAGUUCUGCCACUUAGCUUCAGGUUACUUAGAAAGCACAAAGCAGGAAAUGGGUAUCUAAUGGCCCACUGCUCUUGGAAUGGCCAGAAUGCAGCGUCAAGAGAAAACAGAGGUCUGGCUGGGAGAACUACCAAUUUUGGAAUCAGAUCCUUGGAACAACAUGUAGCAAGCCUCACUGUAUUGGAGAACAAAUGAACGGAAGACGGACGCAUUUCUAUAUUGGAUUUGUACUUUUAAGUCUCUCCUAAUUGCUUUCUUUUGAGAAAGGUAAAACCAGGUUAGAAAAAGCUGAUGUAAUCUUUUCACAUCUAAUAGAUGUCACGGUACUUAGCAAUUAGCAAAAGGAACAGUCAGAUUUAAUGGCUGCAUAUUUUUGUAUGGUGAAUAACUUUGGGUUCACUAUUAAUACCGCUAUUUUUGUAAUCGAGUACAUUAUGAAUGUCUUUAUUUUUCAAACCCCAAAGAUGCUGCUUUUGAAUGUUCAUGCAGAUGAUCUGGCUAAUAUCAGAUAUGCUACAUGGAAAAACUACUGGUGGUGGUUACUGCUGCUAUCCUUUGUUUGUUUAACGGCCGUCACUAAUGUGAGUCUUGAUCCUUGCCAAUAUCAUUUUGCUGGGGAAGUCCGUUUUGAAAAAAGCUUAACUGGCUGAGUAGCUGGUCAGUCUUUGCCUCUUGAAGUGACUUGCCAAGAAAUUCUGUUGCCAUAGAUAACCACAUUUGUCUCCUGGUGGGCAAGGAAGGUGAGGAAGAGAACUAGGAGAGAGAACGUCAAAGAAAUCCAUGUUGCUGCUACCGGAUGCAUAAGUUACGAUAAAGCUUUAAUGAUGAUAAUUUUAUAUUCAUUUAAAAACAGUUUUAACAAUAUUUAAAAUGAAAACUAAAGAUCAGUAACAGCAUUAAAAAAAAAACAGCUAUGUUUAAAAGCUCCCUUUUAUCUUAUUCCCUUUUAUCUAUAUUUUUAUAUGCAAUCUUUAUAGCGCUAUCUAAAGAAUCUUUUCAGAAAUAGUUCUAAAACCCGUAGGGCCUAAUUCCCUAAUAAAUGUGAUUAUAUUUACAGCCUUAAGCAUAAAAGCUCGAGCUUUCGUUUUUAGCUUGUUACAGGAAAGCUUUAGACUGACCAUUCAAAUAAGUUGCAGCUAUUAAAAAUACUUUAUUUCAAAGAGGGCAUUAUCUACUUCGCAAGUUCUUUUCCAAGCUUGUUUGAGAUCUGUAUAUAUUUUAAUGGUCCUAUGUUUCAGACUGUAAAGUUAUCGUUGAAUAACUCCUUGCCAGUCUUAAGUACUGUAAACUAAGUACGUUUGAAAAUUAUAUAGCUAAUACAUUACUCUCAUGUCCUUUACAUUUUGCUCAAAGGACAACUUGAAGUCACAAGCUAAUGAUUCUCAAUCAUAUUUGACUAUAUCAUGCGAUGUAGGAAUUGGGGGGGGGGCAGAAAAAUAAAAUAAGUAAGCACUUCUAAUCAUCUUACCUCUUUUUUUCUUCUGUAACUCCAGUCCCAUCCUCCACUUCCGUCUGUGGCAUUUAUAUUAAUGUUGCAAUUGAUAAAACAUACUCUUUCUUAACAUUUGGUCCUGUAAAACCUUGAACAUUCACUCUGCAAACUUUAAGGCAACAUGGGCAUUAAUAACUGAUGUAUCAACUAGUUAAUUUAUAGGUUCAGUGUUGCUAUUCAGCCAUCUUAAGGCACCAUGUGUAGGCUUCAUCACUAAAAUCCUCAAGAAACAAAAUUAAAAAAAAAAGUAUUGAUUUGUUGAAUUGGCAUUUUCAGAUUGGAUUUUGGUUAAUAAAGUAGAAAAUGAGUAUAAUGUACCAAUGAAAUUAAGUAAACAAAGGCUUUUAUUGACAUAAAGAAUAGUACAAUAUUUUGGCACUACAUCCUUAAAUCCAAUAGUAAAGUUACAGAUUGAAUUUUGAAGGUCUUAAACACUGACUUUGUUGUCUGAAAAUGAACAAUUAAGGUUAUAAUCACCCAAAAGUAAAGUAUGAAAA